UAAGACGUAAGGGGCCAGCGUUGUCCGGAAUUACUGGGCGUAAAGAGCGCGUAGGCGGCUUGAUAAGCGGCGGGUGAAAUCCCCCGGCUCAACUGGGGAACUGCUUGCCGAACUGUCAGGCUAGAGUGCGGGAGAGGGCAGUGGAAUUCCUGGUGUAGCGGUGAAAUGCGUCAAUAUCAGGAAGAACACCGGUGGCGAAGGCUGCUGCCUGGAACGCAACUGACGCUGAGGCGCGAAAGCUAGGGGAGCGAACGGG
rnacentral:rRNA from 1 species